CGACAAGCUGUCUAGGGUUCCGCUAAUGACGGCUGAUGCAUUUAUUUUGACCAAAUAAAUCGUCAGCCGGAAGCAGGUCUGGUCCGAGAGACGGCAUAUAGCAGGCUGUUUUUUCGCUGAAACAGCCGGCUAUAGUACACGGAAGGACAAAAGCCUGGGAGAU
rnacentral:sRNA from 2 species